rnacentral:tRNA from 1 species
GCUGGUUUAGCUUAUUGGUAAAGCCUCUGCAUCGUACGCAGGGAGAAGUAGGUUCAAUUCCUUUCAGCCAGCACCA